UACGGGGGGGGCAAGCGUUGUUCGGAAUUACUGGGCGUAAAGGGCUCGUAGGCGGCCAACUAAGUCAGACGUGAAAUCCCUCGGCUUAACCGGGGAACUGCGUCCGAUACUGGAUGGCUUGAGUUCGGGAGAGGGAUGCGGAAUUCCAGGUGUAGCGGUGAAAUGCGUAGAUAUCUGGAGGAACACCGGUGGCGAAGGCGGCAUCCUGGACCAACACUGACACUGAGGAGCGAAAGCCAGAGGAGCAAACGGG
rnacentral:rRNA from 1 species